UACAGAGGGGGCAAGCGUUGUUCGGAAUUACUGGGCGUAAAGGGCGCGUAGGCGGCCCGCUAAGUCGAACGUGAAAUCCCCAGGCUCAACCUGGGAACUGCGUCCGAUACUGGCAGGCUUGAAUCCGGGAGAGGGAUGUGGAAUUCCAGGUGUAGCGGUGAAAUGCGUAGAUAUCUGGAGGAACACCGGUGGCGAAGGCGGCAUCCUGGACCAACACUGACACUGAUGAGCGAAAGCCAGGGGAGCAAACGGG
rnacentral:rRNA from 1 species